rnacentral:rRNA from 1 species
UGGGGAAUUUUGGACAAUGGGGGAAACCCUGAUCCAGCCAUCCCGCGUGUGCGAUGAAGGCCUUCGGGUUGUAAAGCACUUUUGGCAGGAAAGAAACGUCAUGGGUUAAUACCCCGUGAAACUGACGGUACCUGCAGAAUAAGCACCGGCUAACUACGUGCCAGCAGCCGCGGUAAUACGUAGGGUGCAAGCGUUAAUCGGAAUUACUGGGCGUAAAGCGUGCGCAGGCGGUUCGGAAAGAAAGAUGUGAAAUCCCAGAGCUCAACUUUGGAGCUGCAUUUUUAACUGCCGGGCUAGAGUGUGUCAGGGGGAGGUGGAAUUCCGGUUGAAGCGGUGAAAUGCGUAGAUAUGCGGAGGAACACCGAUGGCGAAGGCAGCCUCCUGGGAUAACACUGACGCUCAUGGACGAAAGCGUGGGGAGCAAACAGG